CCUACGGGAGGCUGCAGUGAGGAAUAUUGGUCAAUGGGCGAGAGCCUGAACCAGCCAUCCCGCGUGAAGGAAGAAGGCGCUAUGCGUUGUAAACUUCUUUUUCAGGGGGAUAAAAUAUUGUAUGUAUACGAUACUGAAGGUACCCUGAGAAUAAGCAUCGGCUAACUCCGUGCCAGCAGCCGCGGUAAUACGGAGGAUGCGAGCGUUAUCCGGAUUUAUUGGGUUUAAAGGGUGCGUAGGCGGAAUAAUAAGUCAGUGGUGAAACCCUGCAGCUUAACUGUAGACUUGCCAUUGAUACUGUUUUUCUUGAGUAUGGUCAAGGCAGGCGGAAUGUGUAAUGUAGCGGUGAAAUGCUUAGAUAUUACACAGAACACCGAUAGCGAAGGCAGCUUGCUGGGCCGUUACUGACGCUGAUGCACGAAAGCGUGGGGAUCGAACAGGAUUAGAUACCCCAGUAGUC
rnacentral:rRNA from 1 species